rnacentral:rRNA from 1 species
UACGAAGGGUGCAAGCGUUACUCGGAAUUACUGGGCGUAAAGCGUGCGUAGGUGGUGAGUUAAGUCUGUCGUGAAAGCCCCGGGCUCAACCUGGGAAUGGCGAUGGAUACUGGCUCGCUAGAGUGCGGUAGAGGAGAGUGGAAUUCCCGGUGUAGCAGUGAAAUGCGUAGAGAUUGGGAGGAACAUCAGUGGCGAAAGCGGCUUCCCGGUCCGACACCGACGUCAGGCACGAAAGCGUGGGGAGCAAACAGG